rnacentral:rRNA from 1 species
AUGAAUAUCUUAGCCUGGAACUGUCGAGGACUGGGGUUGGACUCGACGGUAGGUGAACUGCGCGACCUAGUACGGUCCCACAACCCAGCAGUGGUUUUUUUAACAGAAACAAAGAAGAAGGCCAGGGGUAUGGAGAAGCUGAUGUGGAGUUUAGGGUUCAGAUGUGGUGUGGCUGUGAAUUGCCAAGGGCUUAGUGGAGGUUUGGGUCUCUGGUGGAGGGAUCAUGUGCAUAUUUUAGUCAGACCGUUCUGCCAAUAUUUCAUUGAUGCAGAGGUGGUCUUUGAAGGUAAAUCUCUUAGAGUCACUGGAUUCUAUGGGGAACCGUGUACGGAGUUAAGGAAGAAAUCCUGGUAUGCGAUUAGAUACUUGAGAGCUCAAGAUAAUUUGCCUUGGAUAUGUGUUGGUGACUUCAAUGAAGUGUUGUUCCAAGCUGAUCAGCCAGGGGCGAAUACAAGGAGUUUUGUUCAAAUGGAAGAUUUUCGUGAUUGUUUGGCUGAGUGUGGCCUGGCUGAUCUGGGUUUCUUUGGUUACCAGUUCACAUGGGAUAAUAAGCGGGGAGGAGAUGAAAAUAUCCAGGUAAGGUUGGAUAGGGCAGUGUGUAACAGAGAUUUCUUGUCUAUCUUUCAGGAGACUCUGGUUUAG